rnacentral:rRNA from 1 species
GAUUCUGGCUCAGGAUGAACGCUAGCUACAGGCUUAACACAUGCAAGUCGAGGGGAAACGACAUCGAAAGCUUGCUUUUGAUGGGCGUCGACCGGCGCACGGGUGAGUAACGCGUAUCCAACCUGCCCACCACUUGGGGAUAACCUUGCGAAAGUAAGACUAAUGCCCAAUGACAUCCCACGAAGGCAUCCGAAUGGGAUUAAAGAUUUAUCGGUGAUGGAUGGGGAUGCGUCUGAUUAG